rnacentral:rRNA from 1 species
AUUGAACGCUGGCGGCAGGCCUAACACAUGCAAGUCGAGCGGAUGAAGGGAGCUUGCUCCUGGAUUCAGCGGCGGACGGGUGAGUAAUGCCUAGGAAUCUGCCUGGUAGUGGGGGAUAACGUCCGGAAACGGGCGCUAAUACCGCAUCCGUCCUGAGGGUGAAAGUGGGGGAUCUUCGGACCUCACGCUAUCAGAUGAGCCUAGGUCGGAUUAGCUAGUUGGUGGGGUAAAGGCCUACCAAGGCGACGAUCCGUAACUGGUCUGAGAGGAUGAUCAGUCACACUGGAACUGAGACACGGUCCAGACUACUACGGGGAGCAGCAGUGGGGAAUAUUAGACAAUGGGCGAAUGCCUGAUCCAGCAAUGCCGCGUGUGUGAUGAAGGUCUUCGGAUUGUAAAGCACUUUAAGUUGGGAGGAAGGACAGUAAGUUAAUACCUUGCUGUUUUGACGUUACCAACAGAAUAAGCACCGGCUAACUUCGUG